rnacentral:lncRNA from 1 species
AGUAGGGUUGGACUAAAAAAUCCUUAGGAUAGAUUAAAUUGUUAUGUGGGGGUUAGCCAUUUGUGAGAUAGGGUCAAAAUUAGAGCUUUGGCCUCAAAAACGACAGCCUAGGGCAAAAUAGGGAUUCAUUUGAAGAUUGGAGGAUAGGGUUUGAGAGCUAGCUUGAAAUUCUUUCUAGAAGCAUAAAGAUUAUUUUUAGAAGAUUUUGGAAGACUUAGCAAUUAUUGUUCAAAGUCAGGAUUGUAUUAGUGAUUUGGAUUUUAUAUAAUAUAAUUAGGGCUAGCAAUUUUGGCUAGUUUGUGCAAUUAGUGUAGCAUCUAUGAUUGAAAAGUUGAUAUUAUUUGGAUUAUUGGAUGU